rnacentral:lncRNA from 1 species
UUAAAACUUAUAAUGAAUAGAGAGCGUUUGAUGAAAGAUGAGAAUGUGUGUUGUCAAGAUGGAAUUGUGACUUGUCUAGAGUAUUGCAAUAAUGGUGUUGUGAAGUGAUUUGGUGUAUUUUAGUGACAUAUGGUGGUGAUCUGAGGUAUAUUGUGGUAUCUAGAAUAAUAUGGUGGUGGUGUAAAAUGUUUGUUUAAUUAUUAUGGUGCUGUGUAUUGGAUUUAUGUUUGUAUGAUAUUUUUGUGACAGCAACACACACACACACACAUAUCCAUACAAACAUAAGUGAUAAUAUUGAUUUUAGUAGCAGUACAGUUUAACAUCAUUUCCUGUGGGAGUUUGAGUGACAGUAAUAAUUUAAAAUAAUCAUUGCUUCUUGACCAAAAAAAAAAAAAAAAAAAAAAAAAAAAAAAAAAAAAAAAUCCCUCACACACAGACACACACACACACAUACCUCAUAAAACAGCCCAUGAGGUAAACACUACACAUUACAACAGCCAGAAAGUGUGAUUCAAAACGCUGAUUUUCUGAAUGCACCACUGACAAAAAUCUUUAGUCUCAGGAAAGAUUUGCCGAGACACACAAGUCUAUCAACAUCACACCAAAAAGUUGAGCCACAUAAGGAAGGAAACGCCAUUAAGAGACGGACAUAAAACACAAUUAUGAACGUUAUUAUGGAUUCCUUCUUCCCGCCAUUCUUAAUAGAUCAAGAAAAAGAAAUGAAUUUUGACCCCACACACACACACACACACAUUGCAAAGGAACAUAUAACACUGAAUUAGCAAGAUAACAUAUUGAAUUACCAGAGAGAUUUAAAGUUUCAUAUCAAACACACACACACACAGGCAAACUUUCAUUCAUUCACACACACAAAAACAUUACAGCUGUACAUCAAAAGUAGGUCAUUGGAAAGGUAGAGAGAGAAGAAUGGAUGAACCAGACAAGCAUGCAUCGUGUAAGACCCAAGAGGAUGACAAACAUGUACAUUCCUACCACACUCAGUCAAGCUGUGUCUACGUUUAGCCUCAGAGUAAAUUACCACUACAUUAACUCGACAUCACUACGCUUUCUCGAGACUUUUCCUACAUGUGUCUUACAUUCUACCUAAGCUACAGUGUGCUCAAAGGCAGCAGGGAUGUGGGAACCAAACAUGUGAAAUUUAACCCCCACCUCCUCUCUCUCCUGCAAGAUUCAUUUGAUGUUGUGAGUGAAGCAUGAACUGCUCACACCUCACACCUCCCUCAUCUGCUGCCAGGGAACACACAACAUCCAGUACUGGCUAGCCAAGACUACUGUUGAAAUGUUACCGUAAGUACGAUGAACCGCCACACUAAGAGAUAAGGACCUGUACUCACUCCCUACAUAUUUAACCGCCAGACUGCUGCUGCUGCUGCUGCUGCCGCUGCCCGCUACGGUUGCUGCCUACUUGACAAAUACUCUACGCACUAUUGCCUCAUCUCGGGCAACCCCCUCCCCCCAUCAGCCCUCCCUUCAGGCAGUGUUGACGCCACACGACGCAUCUUCCUCACAAGUCGCGGCCAGAACGUGUCUUCACAUAAACCACCACAGGCUAAACUCCACACUCCAUGAAACCACAGCCAAACAAGUGACAAAUGCCAACACAGACCAAAUGGCAGACAGACAGACAGCCAGAGAGACCCCAACUGCAGAGGAAAACCAAUGAGAUGGACCAUAGAACUACCAAAAAAUCAAGGUAAUGUGACACAAAGAUGAAAGUAAACUAGUAGCUUUGUAUGUUUAGCAAAUGUGUCAGUAGUGUAUGUAUGAAAGGCUCUUAUGAAUGAUGCAGACAAAUAAUUAUACAAAACUAUGAAAUUUCUGAACUGGCUAAGUGAUGUAAAUUUUGUAAAAUGUAUAUUCUAAGCUAGCCAUGAAAUUAUAAAGAAAUUGUAAAGACUAUCAAUACAUGAGGAACAUGAUGAAAAAUGCAUAUACUUCACAUCAGAGCCUAGAAACUGUACUACCACUGAUGCCUCAGGAACUGUGAGUCAAUGAGAGUGAAAACGAGAUGAAGGUGAAAAAAAUCACAUCAACAGAAAAAAAAAAAAAAAAAAAAUCACUUCAUCUUAAAGCCAGUAAAACACUUCCCACAAUCACCUUAAGGAGCUGUGAGCCAAUGACAUAACACACACACACACACACACACACACACACACACACACACACACACACACACACACACACAAUGACAAGACAGACCUUGAGCACAGCAGACCAAAACCAACACAGGCCCAUCUCACUGACCUGACCUCUGCUACUGGGGUCACUGCACACAGUACCAACAACACCACAACCUCUGCCCUCCCUGAGACACUGCCUAGCCCUGUGCAGCAAACGACAUGACCCCAAACAUGACCCGACACUGUGGUGGUGUUACUGGUGUUACUGGUGGUUACUGGUAUUGUACUAGGUGGCGGUGAAGGCUUGGGGGAGUGGAGGGGGGAUUGGUGGUGGGGGGAGAGGCCACAGUUAGGUGAGCAGGUCUCGGUACUGUUGCUUGAGGGUGGCCCACGAGAAUGUAUUGAGGUCCAGGUUCACUUUCUUGGAGCGGACCAGCUGGGGCCGGGCACACCACUGGGCCAGGCUCUUCUGCAGCUGCUGUGUGGUGUUGUACAGACAUUCCUGCAAGAAAGAGAAUGAGAGAGUGAGUGACAGUGCCAUAUUCAGAAAUGCUUCCCUCUCAUAUGAUGAUCAUUUUAAAAGACCACAGAGAUGAUUAACAAAGUUCUAAAGAAUAUUUGUCCUGUCAAUAAUG